AACGUAGGUGGCGAGCGUUAAUCGGAAUUACUGGGCGUAAAGCGUGCGCAGGCGGUUAUGUAAGACAGGUGUGAAAUCCCCGGGCUUAACCUGGGAACUGCAUUUGUGACUGCAUAGCUAGAGUACGGCAGAGGGGGAUGGAAUUCCGCGUGUAGCAGUGAAAUGCGUAGAUAUGCGGAGGAACACCGAUGGCGAAGGCAAUCCCCUGGGCCUGUACUGACGCUCAUGCACGAAAGCGUGGGGAGCAAACAGG
rnacentral:rRNA from 1 species